CCAGGGGCCAUUUCUGUUAUUGCAUCCAGAGGAUUAUGGAAAAGCCAGAGGUACAUCUUUGCAGGAGAGAUUCCCAAGCAAAGAAUGAGGAAGAAAGGCAUGACGUCAAAGGCAAAGCACUCCGGUGUUACUUUCCAGCUUCACUGAGGCCAGAUUGAAACUAAAAGUGGCUGUUGACACCCUGGUUGACAUCUGUUAUCAGACUACGGGUUCAAGGGAGACUCUUGGCCACAGUAUCUAGUGCCCUGGACCACUUGGUCAUUAUUGUACAGAAG
rnacentral:lncRNA from 1 species